rnacentral:rRNA from 1 species
ACGUAGGUGGCGAGCGUUGUCCGGAAUUACUGGGCGUAAAGGGCGCGUAGGCGGUUUUUUAAGUUAGAUGUGAAAACCCAGGGCUUAACUUUGGACGUGCCUUUGAAACUGGAUAACUUGAGUGCAGGAGAGGUAAGUGGAAUUCCGAGUGUAGAGGUGAAAUGCGUAGAUAUUAGGAAGAACACCAGUGGCGAAGGCGGCUCACUGGACUGUAACUGACGCUGAGGCGCGAAAGCGUGGGGAGCAAACAG